ensembl:lncRNA
GACUUGUCCUGUCAGGCAAAUUGCUCUGACUGCAGAAGACAAAAGGCCAAGUAUUGAAACAAAAAUACUGAAAACAGUCCAAACCCGCCUGCACUUAAAGAUUAUUUGCAUACAGGUACUGGGAGGAAACUUCUUUGUUUUACAGGCAACAGAUGGGUAGGAAAGGAAGAGCACAAAACAGAAAGUCAACUCUACAAUCCUAGAAAACUGUGUUGAUGAGGGAAUCUCUCAGAUGAGGGUAUGCAAAAUAGAAGUGACAAGUAUGAGCUGGGGCUUGCUCACUCUGACAUAAGUCAGGAGUAGGUGUCCAGGUAUCUAUUGUUUGAAAGCUGUAAAAGGUGGGAAAUUAUCCUUCAUUUGCCUAAGAAAAUGCUGUGUUACCAGAACCUAAUUCAUUUUUCAGUAAGAUGGAGGCACCUUUGUUUUGAGUCAAUGUAUUCAUUAUGUCCAUAAAGUGCAGAACUUCUGUAACAGCCAAACACUUAAAGCGCUGCUGCCAUUUACUCAGGUUCACUUAACGUACUACUGAGUUAUUGUUUCUUCUUUUAAUUUGCGUGGUUCCUGUCUUGCCAAACUCUUUUGCAUACACAAGCAGUGGUGCAUAUGUAUGAAUAUAUUUGCAAAGACCUGUAGACCGCACACUUGAAAUAGCUUAGCAUUUGUUUGCUUCCUCUUCCAUUAAAGCCAAUGAUGAAUCCUUUCAAAAAUAUCCACCCACCAGUUCAGUGUGUUUUGCAUUUUUCUAAUUGGCAAGUCAAUAACAGAGAAAAACAACCUUCUGCUGCAUUCAUCUAGUGCAGUCUACUACUCUGUCAAACCAAAUGGCUGAAGCCUCUGCUCCGUUGUUUGAGGUUCCAGGUUCAGCUGCCAGCAAAUUACUUAUUAUGAGGCUCAUUAGUUACAAGAUUAUUUUUCUGAGAUGAAGACAAAGUAAAAUAUAUCUGUUCAAACUCAUUAACUCAAUUAGAUUUUUAGAGAAUUGUACUUUGGCAGAUGAGCUGUGAAAAAAAAUAAUAGUGUUUUCAGAAGCUGGGCCACUUGCUUUUAGAAGAGCCAGAGACCUCUGAAAAUACUACACCAGAAACCUCCAGAGGGAAGUCAACCGUGCAGAAAACCAUGGGCAGGCACAUUAUCUUCAAAACUCAAGAGACCAACUCAGUGGCAACUUCUUUUCCAACAGAUCAUAUGGAACAUUUUGUAUAUUGCAACCAACUGUAGUGGGAUGUUUCUCACUUUCAUAGAAAUCUGCCUAAAUUUCUCAAUAAUAUAUUGCAUCUGUUCAUUGAGGAACUUUCUGUAAGAGUAGUUUCAUAGCAAAAAUAUUUGUACAAAACCAGAACAAUCAACUACUAGGAUAACCUUAUAAUGUACAAAUGGUGAUUAUCACCUCCCCAACACUCUUCUGUCUUUCAUCUUUCACUGUUUCUCUCUGCAGUUGCUUAUGUACAAUAUUUUAUUUAGUCUAGACACUGUUAAGACAACAUGAUUCCCCUUCAGAAGGUCAUACAAGUACAUAAGCUGGUGCCUCAAGCUGGUGCCUCAAGCUGCAGUUUUGAAUUCUACCUCUGUUACAGAUUGGCUAUGGUACACAGUACUAGAGUACUUUGUUCAGAAUAGGAUUGUCAAAAUUGUAGUAAUAAUGACCUUAACAAGGUCUGCUUUACUUCAGAACCUGAGAAAAUGGUAUGCAUAAUAAAAACCACUGUAGAAAUAUAAGUCAUACAAUACAUUAUUUCUAUCAUAUCUGUACAAAUCCUUUCUGCUGUGCCCCUUUCUAAAUAAUACAUGUUUAUCUUCAUUGAUGGCAUAUCAAGGGACACUUUUAUCAAUGGUCAGUUUUAAAUAAAGUCACAAUCUAACUGUAUUUUAAGAAAGGCUUAAAUUUAAAAAUGCCUAUAUAAGCAUUGAUGUGAUGUUAUCCAUCUUGUUUGCAGGUGAAAAGUGCAAACCUUAUAGGUAGACGUAUGAAAUUAGAAGUACUCAUUUCUAUCAGGAAACUUACUUAUAGAAUUAAUGCAAGUGGGCAUGUUGAUACCACUGUAGGAUACUGAAAAGUACUAAAGCAGACACAUUUUUAAGGAUAGGUUGACAUAGAAGGGAAAAUACUAAGUGGUCACUUUUUUCUUCAGUUCUUGGUUACCCUUGAUGUACAAGUUUGACAGCAUAUUCUUCACUUCCUCUGUAACUGUUGUGCAACAUAAACAUGCCAAACUGUGAGCCCAUAUGAUUGUCAUUUUUGACCUUUUCCUCCUCCCUUUUGAUAUUCUUCAUUCCCACGAUAUCAUCAAUAUCCAAAGGAAUGAAGCAGAAACCCACAGUCUACAUAUCCCUGUAUUCACAGCUUGGCACUUCAGCAUCUGUCUUCCACAGCACUAGCAGAUGGAUUCAUUUACCAAAAUCGUUGUUGGUUUCAGUUCUCAACCAGUCUGUCAAAACAUACUCAGCUUUCUGGAAAGGGAGGCCUGCAUAAUUUAUUUUGUUCGUGUAACAUGGAAGAAAGGGCACUUAGCAUUCUAUCACAAAAAUUUGAAUGUUUUUCCUAGUAACGUGAGAUACCAUAUAGCUCCACCCCUUGUCCUGUUUAUUUGUGGAUUAGGAGUUAGAGAGAAAAAUGUUCACAGUUACUCUCUCAAAAUCACGCAUAACUAUUCACAGAAUCAUAGAAUCAUUAAGGCUGUAAGAGAUCUCCAAGAUCACCUAGUUCAACAGUCAACCCAUCACCCUCAUGCCCAUUAAACCAUGCCCCUCAGCUCUAUAUCUAUGUAUUUUCUGAACACUCCCAGGGACAGUAACUGGGCAACCUUUUCGAGCCUAUCACCACAACCUGAUACAAAAUUUUUUCCUAAUACCCAACCUGAACCUUCCCUUGUGCAACUUAAGGCAUAAUUAAAUUAAAUUAAUUAAGAUAAAUAAUUACUUCUCAUUCUAUUGCUGUUAUCUGUGAGAAGAGGUUGACAUCCACCUCACCACAACCUCCUUUCAGACAGCUGCAGAGAGCAAUAAGGUCUCCCCUGAGCCUCCAUAUCUCCAGACUUAACAAUCUCAGUUCCCUCAGCUAGUCCUCAUAAAACUUAUACUCCAGACUUCUCACCAACUUUGGUGCCCUUUUAUGGACAAACUCCAGGGCCUCAGUGUUUUUCAUGUAGUGAGAGGCCCAAAACUGAACACAGUACUUAAGGUGCAGCCUCACCAGUGCCAAGUAGAGAGAGAUGAUCACCCCUCUGGUCCUGCUGACUACAUUAUUUUUGAUACAAGCCAGGAUGCCGUUGGCCUUCUUUAACACUUGGGCACACUGCUGGCUGAUGUUCAGCUGGCUGUCUUCCACUGAUUGCAAGAGACUUACAUGCACUGAAAAUUAGAUGAGGUUACAAAGGAGGAGUACAGAAUCACAGCAGAGACAUACACGGGUAAAUUUAGACAAGUCAUGACAGAAGUCACUACUACCAAGGAACACUAAAAGAUACAAGAAAUUUUCUACAUGUUUGUUAGUAUUAUGUGGAAGACCUAGGAACAGAUUACCCUUUCUUUCCAAGGACAGAAAUCAAAAUACACAUUGCUUCAUGAGUUUUAAUGUCUAUUUUGCUGUCAUAGAUAAUUGCUAUGAGGCAGCUAUCAUUAAACCAAUGAUAAAAGGGUAGUAACUCAAACUCAAAUAUGCAAAGGAACUAUUUAGAUAAUAAUUAGAUAUGUUAGAAGUUUUAUCAGUUGUGCUUGAGAAAAAAAUGACAGAAAGAUAAACUAUGGAGAUUUCUAAAGUAUUACUAUGGAAAUUACAUGUUGAAACCACUGAAGAGUGAGUGAGCUCUCAAAACCCUGGAAAAUUGCACGUUCCAUUGGUUUGGGCUUUUUAAACUGAAAAAAAAAAAAAAAUGGAGGAGGAUAGAUAUUUAUAGAAUAGUCAGCUUAAUUUUGACUCCCAGAAAAUUUAUCUGAGCCAAGCUAAAAACUCAUGAAUAUGUAGAUGAUAACAAGCACAGAGUUAAUGGUCAAUGUGGUUUUGGAAAGAGCAAAUCACAUUCAGGGAAUUUAAUUUUCUUUCCAAAAUAAAACAAAACAAAAAGGGGCAGGGAGUUCCUUAUUCCUAUAAGGAACCAUUAGAGGUUACUCCUGUAAAAAUAAGUGACAUCUUUAGCAUGGAUUGAGUCACUGAAUGCACACAGACCAAUGCAGCAACUUUGCAGGACCAGAAUGCUUGACAGUAUGUUUAGCAAAGUGGCAAAUUCAGCUUCUGCUGCAACCACUAAUAUGGAUGGACAAGUGGAGAGAGUUUGAAGGCAUCUUCCCUCCGCAACAGGAAAACUCAACAGUAACAGAACUGUCAAGGGAAACCAAGAGAAACCAAGAUAUUUCUAACUAAAAGCAUGGUUUAAUUCUAUAAUUAGAUAAGAUUUGAUCCAUAGAAAAAUCACACAUGAUCAAAGUCCAUAGAAUUAUACUAGUAUGAAAAUAAUAAAUGUCCAAUGAAAAUCAAGUCUAAACCAAACUGUAGCCAAAACAGAGAUAUGUGAAACCUAUGGAUUCAAAAUGUAGUAAUUAGAAUAUACUUCAACUGCAUUAUUAAAGAGUGUAGUGCUCGUGAAUGACAUUUAAAGCAGAAUAUGUUUCCAUAUUGAGUAUUCUCCGUUUCUAUCUGUGGUUUUGUAUCUGAUUUUUUGCACAUUCCUCAUCACCUUGUUUGCUGUGGCCCAUAAUGUAGAACAAAGUUUUGUGCCUCUUCACAAAUACACAAGAAAACAUCAAAUUCGCUUCCAUCUCCAGCUGAACUAUCAGUUCCAGUCUGUGGUCAUCAUUACCCUCAGAAGCUGUGACUGACAGACUAGGUUGAUGUUUCACAGAAAAGCUAUAGUGAAAACAGGCAGCUUGAUGUACAGGGUGGGAACUCUCUAUGUGGCAAUUUCUUAGAUGGUCAGAUCUGCACAUUCUCCCUGAAGAUAGCCAGCUGGAGUUAAAAAAAAUAAUAAAUCCAAGAAUCUACUUCACGUACAACUCCUGGCUCAUCAAAGGCAAUACCUCCUGUCAGACUACCACACUUUCUCUCAUUAGCUUGCCACUGACUGAGAAGCUCAGCAACAAUAUACAAUCUGUACCUACUGCUUCUGUUUAUUUUCCUUUUGUUUGAACAAUGAGAGGAUAUACAUUACACCAAGACUUGAUUUUGUAGCACUGCUAAAUCACACUUGAGGGAACAAUGAAAACAGUGCCUGUUUAAUAAAUAUAUGUUGAUAUUUCAUAUCUAAUUGCUUCCAAUGGGAUCCUAAAUGUAUCCCAUGAAAGAGAGGGAAUAUAUAAGUCACAAAAGCUAGAGAACAUCUGACUGAUGUAUAUAACUCUCAUGUGUCAUGGUUAAACCUCUGGAGCAACAGUUCUUCCUGUCACUUUGCUACUGUCCUGGCUUCAGCUGGGACAGAGUUGAUUUUGUUCGUACUGUGUGAUAUGAUGCUAUGUUUUGACUUCAGGAGAAAAACAAUGUUGAUAUCACAUUGAUGUUUUAGUUGCUAAGCAGUGCUGUACAGAGCCAAGGAUAUUUCAGUUUCUCAGCUUCUGAGCUUCUCCUGUUGUAUUGCCCAUGAGAAGGCUGGGGGGGGGGGGGGGGGGGG